rnacentral:misc_RNA from 1 species
AACGCACCUUGCACCCUUUGGUAUUCCGAAGGGUACGCCUGUUUGAGCGUCAUUAAUCUCUCAAAGCUGAUUGGUUUUGCGAUCAAUCAUGCUUUGGAUGUGAGGGUUGCUGAUUGAAAGAUCAGACUCCCUUUAAAUACAUUAGUGGUUAUCUGAAUCCCACUCUAAGUGUGAUAGUCUAUCUACGCUUUGCAGUGAUUUGGAAUGGACUGCUUUCUAACCGUCCCUUUGCUGGGACAAUAGACUCGUCCUUUCAGUCGUUAAGACUGGUGUUGAAGUUCGUUAACCCUUACUUCUAGUAGAGUCGAUUUGACUAUUUGACCUCAAAUCAGGUGGGACUACCCGCUGAACUUAA